rnacentral:rRNA from 1 species
UCAGAUGAGCCUAGGUCGGAUUAGUCUAGUUGGUGAGGUAAUGGCUCACCAAGGCGACGAUCCGUAACUGGUCUGAGAGGAUGAUCAGUCACACUGGAACUGAGACACGGUCCAGACUCCUACGGAGGCGGGCAGUGGGGAAGUAUUGGACAAUGGGCGAAAGACCUGAUCCAGCCAUGCCGCGUGUGUGAAGAAGGUCUUCGGAUUGUAAAGCACUUUAAGCUGGGAGGAAGGGUUGUAGAUUAAUACUCUGCAAUUUUGACGUUACCGACAGAAUAAGCACCGGCUAACUCUGUGC